UACGGAGGGGGCUAGCGUUGUUCGGAAUUACUGGGCGUAAAGCGCACGUAGGCGGACUCUUAAGUCGGUGGUGAAAUCCUGGAGCUCAACUCCAGAACUGCCUUCGAUACUGAGAGUCUCGAGUCCGAGAGAGGUGAGUGGAACUGCGAGUGUAGAGGUGAAAUUCGUAGAUAUUCGCAAGAACACCAGUGGCGAAGGCGGCUCACUGGCUCGGUACUGACGCUGAGGUGCGAAAGCGUGGGGAGCGAACAGG
rnacentral:rRNA from 1 species